CCUACGGGUGGCAGCAGUGGGGAAUAUUGCGCAAUGGGCGAAAGCCUGACGCAGCGACGCCGCGUGAGGGAUGAAGGUCUUCGGAUCGUAAACCUCUGUCAGCAGGGAAGAACGGUCACUGUGCUAAUCAGCAGUGAAUUGACGGUACCUGCAAAGGAAGCACCGGCUAACUCCGUGCCAGCAGCCGCGGGAAUACGGAGGGUGCGAGCGUUAAUCGGAAUUACUGGGCGUAAAGCGCUCGUAGGCGGUAUGUCAAGUCAAGGGUGAAAUCCCCGCGCUCAACGUGGGAACUGCCUUUGAAACUGGCAAACUGGAGUGUGUGAGAGGAUAGUGGAAUUCCAGGUGUAGGAGUGAAAUGCGUAGAUAUCUGGAGGAACAUCAGUGGCGAAGGCGACUAUCUGGCACAUAACUGACGCUGAGGAGCGAAAGCGUGGGUAGCAAACAGGAUUAGAUACCCGAGUAGUC
rnacentral:rRNA from 1 species